AUUGAACGCUGGCGGCAUGCCUUACACAUGCAAGUCGAACGGUAACAGAUCUUCGGAUGCUGACGAGUGGCGAACGGGUGAGUAAUACAUCGGAACGUGCCUAGUAGUGGGGGAUAACUACUCGAAAGAGUGGCUAAUACCGCAUGAGAUCUACGGAUGAAAGCAGGGGAUCGCAAGACCUUGUGCUACUAGAGCGGCCGAUGGCAGAUUAGGUAGUUGGUGGGAUAAAAGCUUACCAAGCCGACGAUCUGUAGCUGGUCUGAGAGGACGCUGCGCCACACUGGGACUGAGACACGGCCCAGACUCCUACGGGAGGCAGCAGUGGGGAAUUUUGGACAAUGGGCGCAAGCCUGAUCCAGCAAUGCCGCGUGCAGGAUGAAGGCCUUCGGGUUGUAAACUGCUUUUGUACGGAACGAAAAGCCCUGGGUUAAUACCCUGGGGUCAUGACGGUACCGUAAGAAUAAGCACCGGCUAACUACGUGCCAGCAGCCACCGUAACAC
rnacentral:rRNA from 1 species